rnacentral:rRNA from 1 species
UACAGAGGGGGCAAGCGUUAUUCGGAAUUAUUGGGCGUAAAGGGCGCGUAGGUGGCCUGCUAAGCGUGCGGUGAAAGUCGGGGGCUCAACCCCCGAUCGGCCGUGCGAACUGGGAGGCUUGAGCACUGUAGAGGCAGGCGGAAUUCCGGGUGUAGCGGUGGAAUGCGUAGAGAUCCGGAAGAACACCGGUGGCGAAGGCGGCCUGCUGGGCAGUUUUGCUGACACUGAGGCGCGACAGCGUGGGGAGCAAACAGG